AUGCAGAAAUGCAGAAUCAGAGUAAUAGCCUAGGUCUCUAGCCUUCCAUGCUAAGAAUUGUGGUAUAAGUUUGUUGCUAUUGCCUUUUGCAGGUUUUCAUUUAAGUAAACUCAGAAACACUAAAAAUCACCUGCGAAGAAACCAUGAAACGUAUCGACUUAGAUGUAAGGUCCCCUGCAGGCAUCUUACUUCUAUCAAUAUAUUGGAAUAAAAAAGUUCCUACGAAAAUCACUGCAAGGAUGAAAAUGUUUAGUCUUCAGAUCAUCCCCUGGGGAGAUGACUGGGACUGGAAGCCACGAGCUUUUUAUCUUCUGGAAGAGGAGGCGGGUAGCAAGCAGAGAGACCAAGAAAUGCAAUCAGGGCAGAGGCAGAUUAUCAAUAGCAAGCUACCGAGGCAGAGAGGACAACAGAAGAACUGACAGAGACGAGAUAAAGCACUAGCUGUUUUGAACAGGGACGGAAGAAUGUGAACAUACUUUUGCAGGGCAGUGAGGGUCUAUUUUCAGCCUGCUUUUGCCAUGCUGGAAGUUUCCAUGAUGGAGAAGAAAAUAGCACUGUAGCAGAAAAUGAUUGUGACCUGCUCAACGAACCUGACCUUAGCUACAGAAUGUGCCAGCGUGAUGAGGGAAAUGAAGAAUCUUAAUGAGGCAAGAGGAAACCCGGUCAUCCUAAUGCAGUGGGCUCCUCCCAAGAGAUCAGCUAGAGAGGAGCAUUCAUUGUGUUUUGCAACUUGAUUUGAAUUCAUCCUGUCUUAUCUUUUAAAGAAAGGGCAAGAGCGUUCAUAAAUCGACACAAUCUGCUUGUAAAUCUCUUUCUUUCUCACAUUUACCCUCUGAAGAAUUAAACUGCAAGUCCUCUCAGCUAUCAUUUAGGUCUGGGGAAGCAGGGUCUGAGGAACCUGAGUGGAAGACUGGGGACAUGGCCACCAGUUGUGGCUCCCAGGAGGAGGACACAUGAACGGAUGGGUCAGUGCAGCACCCUGAUUGUCCAAGACAGAAUUACAUCCCCCAAUCUUCCUUUGUUCCCUAUCAACUGUCCUAACACAACCUGGUGAUAAAAGACAGCUGAAGAUGAAGGCUAAAGCUUCUUUUGCUGUUUUCUGUUUGCCUGCUUUCUUUUAUUUUGAAAAACCAUCUUCCACAGAGAAGUGACAAGAAUUAUUAGAUUUCAGCUGAAAGCUGGAGAUGGCUUUCCUGAAUAAUUGCAGCUUUUCAGGUUUUUAGGUUUCUGAACUUGUUGGGAUUUUUGGUUUGGUAGGCUGGAAAUUUUUGUGUAAUUUCCAACUUGAUGAGGAAAAAAAUACCAACCCAUCACUUUUCCUUCCCAAGUAUCAUUUUCUAGCUUAUGCAUUUCUAUUUCAGUCUCCCGUGUGAUCGUUUUCUUAUUUAUUAGUAAGGGACUUCAGGUUUCUCAUUCUUCUAUGACAGAAACAGGUAACUUUUAAAAAUCCCAAAUCAUAUUGUUUUAGCUGAGAACUAGAUCCUAGCACAACAGACGGAGAGUUCAGCAGCAUUGGGUUGAUGCUUCUGAGCCCAGAAGCUGAUGUGUGACGCAGGGAUAAUAAACCAGCAGAGGCUCUGCUAACA
rnacentral:lncRNA from 1 species